UCUUGAUAAUACUGUACGGGUAAUCCUUGCUACCUGCGAGACGGCUGAAGAGGACCUUAAUUGGUCCUAGAACGGCUUGAGGUAGAGGGGUUUUAGUCGGUAGGUCCGAGGACUUCUUCCUCGGGAAUCCGACACUACCCAGUCGUACGGACGGCUGGGUGACUUUUUAAGAUUUCCCCUCUUCCACGAAA
rfam:Agrilus planipennis Contig25399, whole genome shotgun sequence.